CAGUCGCCGCGGUAAUACGGGGGGUGCAAGCGUUAUUCGGAUUGAUUGGGUGUAAAGGGUGUGCAGACGGCUUAUUAAGUCACUUGUUAAAUUCUUCGGCCUAACUGAAGGUCUGCAAGUGAUACUGAUGAGCUAGAGGGUGGAAGAGAGAAGUGGAAUUCUCGGAGUAGCGGUAAAAUGCGUAGAUCUCGAGAGGAACACCAAUGGCGAAGGCAGCUUCUUGGUCCAUUCCUGACGUUCAUACACGAAAGCGUGGGGAGCAAACAGGAUUAGAUACCCCCGUAGUCCCUGUCUCUUAUAC
rnacentral:rRNA from 1 species